rnacentral:rRNA from 1 species
UACGUAGGUGGCAAGCGUUGUCCGGAUUUACUGGGCGUAAAGAGCGCGCAGGCGGUCAGAUAAGUCGAAUGUGAAAGCCCCCGGCUCAACUGGGGAGGGUCACUCGAUACUGAUCGACUUGAAGGCAGGAGAGGGAAGCGGAAUUCCCGGUGUAGUGGUGAAAUGCGUAGAUAUCGGGAGGAACACCAGUGGCGAAGGCGGCUUCCUGGCCUGUUCUUGACGCUGAGGCGCGAAAGCUAGGGGAGCAAACAGG